CAUGCCCCACUCGUGUUGCAGGCAUGGCUGUCGUGCCAUGUUUGUGUCAUUAGGUGGCAGAGAGGAAGAGGCUACGUCUUUGCUAGUGCUCUGAGACCUGUGGGCACUGGAGGAUGAUGAGUAACCUGACAAU
rnacentral:snoRNA from 1 species